CCUAAUUGAACUCAUUUAGCUUUGGAUCCAUUAAGAACUUAAAAUCGUGAACUUAAGACACAUCUACAGUGGCCAUUUAUAUAACUUGAAGUUGACUUCAAACUGUGGUGGCCUUACUGCAGCAUGGAUUAAAGGGUCUAAAGUACAGCAGGUAAAGUUGGGAGAAAGUCCAAAUCAAACCCCUUGAUGCAUUUCAUCAAGCUCUAACCACAUUACAUGUUGAAAUCAGCUCUAGAGAAUGUGGAGCACUUUAUAGACACUCACCCACACUAGAAUGUGUUUAAAAUUAAUAAAGGGGGACUUCCAAAUAACACCCAAAGGACAUUACUGGACAACAUAUGGUUAGUUGACCUCUUGGGACAGAUGUCUGAUUACCUCCAUUACUAACUAUCACUUGCUCUUUCUCCCCACCUCUUAUGCCUCUGGAGUGCUGGUGCACAUCUUGACCUGGAAUGGAAAGGAAAAACCCUGCAGAGUUUGGAAAUUAUUUGAAACCAUGUUCCAAGGUUUGUGGAUUUUUGGUAUCCUGAUCUGUCUCCUGAACUCUUGGAACCCUGGAAUCUCCGGACUGGCCAUUGACUAUGGUUUUUUCCCUUAGAGUCUCAAGCAAAAACAAAUAUACUUUUUAAAAAUGAAGAUGGAGGAAGAAGAAGAGGAGAAAGAAAAAGAGAAGAAGUAGAAGAAGAGUUACCCAACAUAAUGCAAUAACCCUAACUUCAGCAUUCUUGCAUAUUCUGCUGGCAGAUAUUUUCCCUUAGGUCUACAAAUAUAAAAU
rnacentral:lncRNA from 11 species